rnacentral:rRNA from 1 species
GACGAACGCUGGCGGCGUGCCUAAUACAUGCAAGUCGAGCGAAGUUUUUCUGGUGCUUGCACCGGAAAAACUUAGCGGCGAACGGGUGAGUAACACGUAAAGAACCUGCCUCAUAGACUGGGACAACUAUUGGAAACAAUAGCUAAUACCGGAUAACAGCAUUAACUGCAUGGUUGAUGUUUAAAAGUUGGUUUUGCUAACACUAUGAGAUGGCUUUGCGGUGCAUUAGCUAGUUGGUGGGGUAAAGGCCUACCAAGGCGACGAUGCAUAGCCGACCUGAGAGGGUGAUCGGCCACACUGGGACUGAGACACGGCCCAGACUCCUACGGGAGGCAGCAGUAGGGAAUCUUCCGCAAUGGGCGAAAGCCUGACGGAGCAACGCCGCGUGAGUGAAGAAGGAUUUCGGUUCGUAAAGCUCUGUUGUUAGGGAAGAAUGAUUGUGUAGUAACUAUACACAGUAGAGACGGUACCUAACCAGAAAGCCACGGCUAACUACGUG